rnacentral:lncRNA from 1 species
GGAAAGCUGUUAAAGGCAGACAAAAAAGAAGAAAAAAAGAAAAGAAAAAAAAAGGAGUUGGAGGGAGUUGUGAGUUACGAGGGACAUCUCAGAGCCCUGCUUGUCUGUUUGGAGACCCCUGUGCCUUUGCGCCUUUAUGAGACGGUCAGGUGCCGACAGACCUGAUGGUCUUUGGCUUCCCUGCUUCGUGAAGUUGCCCUCCUGGAAGCUGCAAAUGCAGAUAUGUUAAGAUAACUUUUAUUUUUUAAUUAAAAAUACAUCUUUC